ACUCUCUGCAGACAACAAUAUUUUCCCUGUGACUCCAAACAGACCAGAGGAGGUGGUCCAGUUUAACUCAGGCUUAAAGGGGCGUUCACACCAAGGGUAAGUUAAACCAUUUGCACAAAUGGAUUACAUGUAAAGUCAAUGCAAAGACGCGACAAGAUGCACAUACUACUCUGAUGGCACAAAUGUCGUAAAUUGGGGGGGGCGCAAAUUGAGUGAGGUAUUUGUGCGAAUUAAGCGAGAGUUGAAAAUAUCUAAACUUGAUAUCCAAUCAGCAUGAAGAUUCCUGGGUGAUACAUUAAAUCAGAUCGGAAGAUGUUGACUGGUUUGAAAAAAUAUAAACACAAAUCUGUUUACUCACAGUGGACAGAUGGACAGGCGCUCUGCAGCUGGGAUAGAGCUCCUGUCAUUGGUAUCCUGGAGAGACAUCCGGGCACCGACCCUCACCAACAGGUCGUCAAAUUGGGUUUGGGUAACCCAAAAAUACAGCUGGAAAAGGAUGUAAUCUGG